rnacentral:lncRNA from 1 species
UCCUAAGUUAUACGAAAGUGCAGUCAAUGCAUCACCUUCAAAUCCUAGUUUUAACACUCCAUUAACGGAACUUUGCAUUCGAUGUUUAUAUUCUUCAAAGGUGUUGCUUUUGAACCCUCAAAUACAAAAUGAAGAGAAACAUGUCUCUACAAAUACCUAUGCCAACAAAUCAACCCUCACUCAGCCAUAUUUCAGGAAUAACAAAUUACUUUAAGGGUCAAACAAAUCAUCGAAAAGUCUACACUUAAACCAUGGCUUUUCACAGGGGAGUCCAAAACACCGCAAAGAUCCACAUCCAAUCCAAUGAACUUUUUACUGUAAAAUCACAGUUUACCCACCAGAACAAUUUAUCACGGAAUCUUAAAGCAUUGGGUUCGAGUUCAUGGAUUGGUUGUCUUACGGUGGUUGAAUUCAUCAAUCAGGUAGAGCUGCUUCCAAUUGACUUACAAUGGAUGUACAACUUCCCCAUUUCUUUUCAAUAGGGAACUUCCCCUAUACAUCUCAACUCACAAUAUAAUCACUAACCUAAUCCUAUGAACUUAGCUCGGUUGGUAGCGUCAUUGCAAUAUACAGGGUUAGGAUUCGAACCGGGAUUCUCCACUUAUUCACCUUAACGUGUGAAAUUAUGGCCACUAAACUACUUGACCAAAACAAACAUUACUUUCAGAUCAUCAACAAUCAGUUCACAGAAACAAAAAAAGACCAAAAUUUAUACACAAAUAAACAAUCAUAAGAACACAAAAAUGAAAAAUUCACAGUACAAACAAAACAAUCCAGAAUCAAAUAAAAAGGGGAAUGAAACAAAAACUGACCUAAAUCUUAACAACUCAAAAUCCCAAAUCUUAACAACUCAAAAUCACUUUUUUUAUGGUUCUAAAUUUCAAAUCAGCAGAACCCCAACUGAAUUUCUAAGCAUAUUAACCUAAACCUAACAACAUUACUUUCACAUCAUCAACAAUCAGUUCACAGAAAGAAAAAAGACCAAACUUUAUACACAAAUAAACAAUCAUAAGAACAAAA